GGUUGUGUCUCAGUGGUAGAGUGCUUGCCUUGCACAUGUGAGGCACUGGGUUCGAUCCUCAGCACCA
rnacentral:tRNA from 1 species